rnacentral:tRNA from 1 species
AAGAUAUUAGUAAAACUAAUUACAUAACUUUGUCAAAGUUAAAUUAUAAGCUAAAGCUUAUAUAUCUUGA